UACGUAGGGGGCUAGCGUUGUCCGGAAUCAUUGGGCGUAAAGAGCGUGUAGGCGGCCCGGUAAGUCCGCUGUGAAAGUCGGGGGCUCAACCCUCGAAUGCCGGUGGAUACUGUCGGGCUAGAGUGCGGAAGAGGCGAGUGGAAUUCCUGGUGUAGCGGUGAAAUGCGCAGAUAUCGGGAGGAACACCAGUGGCGAAGGCGACUACCUGGCCUGUUCUUGACGCUGAGGCGCGAAAGCUAGGGGAGCAAACGGG
rnacentral:rRNA from 1 species